GGCGCUAUAGCCAAGUGGUUACGGCGACAGAUUAGAACCACUGAGAAAUCUGUUCCUCUUUGAGGGCGCAGGUUCAAAUCCUGCUGGCGUCG
rnacentral:tRNA from 1 species